rnacentral:misc_RNA from 1 species
GAUGAAGAACGUAGCGAAAUGCGAUAAUUAAUGUGAAUUGCAGAAUUCCGUGAAUCAUCGAAUCUUUGAACGCACCUUGCGCCUUUUGGUAUUCCGAAAGGCACACCUGUUUGAGCGUCAUGAAUACCUCAAUCUCCAUCUUUUCUUCGGAUUGAUGGGUGACUUGGAUGUUGAGCCCUGCUGGUAUGCUAUAUCAGCUGGCUUUAAACUUAUUAGCCGGCUCUGUACUGGAUCGGUUUGACUCGACGUGAUAAUAUUAUCGUUGAGGAUGCAUGUCUCAUGCAGCCGGAAAGUAUCAAAGCAGCUUCUAGCUUGCCUUUAGUGCACUUUUACAUUUUAGACCUCAGAUCAGGUGGGACUACCCGCUGAACUUAAGCAUAUCAAUAAGCGGAGGA